rnacentral:rRNA from 1 species
UACGUAGGGUGCGAGCGUUAAUCGGAAUUACUGGGCGUAAAGCGUGCGCAGGCGGUUUGCUAAGACAGGUGUGAAAUCCCCGGGCUUAACCUGGGAACUGCGCUUGUGACUGGCAGGCUACAGUACGGUAGAGGGGGGUGGAAUUCCUGGUGUAGCAGUGAAAUGCGUAGAUAUCAGGAGGAACACCGAUGGCGAAGGCAGCCCCCUGGGCCUGUACUGACGCUCAUGCACGAAAGCGUGGGGAGCGAACAGGAUUAGAUACCCU